AUUGGUCAGUCCCAGAGGAACGUCAUGGCACUAUUAUUAUUAUGUGAUACGUUAGGGAGCAUUUUUAUCUUCAAGUCGAUACUGAGAUACCGCAUUUGUUGGCCUUUCCUGGGAAUGGAUUCUAAUUGCUGAGAAGCUUCAACACGAGUACUACUCGAAAGUGUAGUCUGGACAGUCGAGAAAACAAAAGCCACGACCGCAUCGUCAAAAUAUUAGACUACCUGCAUUCACUUAAUUAAGAGAAGAAAUGAUUUGCAAUUGGUGUCUGUGACCUACGGU